UUAGCUUUUCUACCCUCGUGAUUACAGUUUAAAUGAUGCUGCCACCCCCCAACACCCUAGUGAAAAGAGAAAUGAAGAUCUCCUAAACUGCAGUGCUUGCCCUGAAACUAAACUCUCUCUAUAUUCUAUAUCGUGCCAGUUUUCUGCAAGGAAAUCAUCUUUAUGACACGGGUUCGUUCCUCUUCUCUCGUUCCAGCUUUGUUCUUCUGAAGUUACCCCUGGGUCCCUGGACGACGUGUGCACCGAAACUCAGGUCGAUUAGACAGACGGGAUGAGACAGGGAGCAUCACUAGCGUAUAACGGGAUCAGAAGUUUUUGACGUUUGAGAGCCGAAAUGUUCAGCAACUAAGCCAUUCAACAUCCAAGACGAAAUGAUCCAACCAUAGGAGCCCACCAGGUCUUUUAGCACUCUGGUGACCAGUGAGCCAGCAGAGGAAGGUGUCACAAUGGCUUCUGUAAAUCGGGGGCUGUCUCUUGAAAAGAGGGACACUUGGCAGGUCUGCUGAGGUGCCCAGAUGGGAGACCACCAGGGAACCCAUGGUAUGGUGCUUAGAAUUAUACAGACAAAACAUACUAUGUAAAUAAAUACAUAUAUAUAUAUAGACACACUGUCCUUUUUGUCUUUUCUCAUGCAAGUCAGAAAGAGGCCUUCUGCUCAUGAAAGGGCACCUGUGGACCUGAGCCUCCAAAAUAGCUCUACUUGGGAGUAAUUUUUUUCUGACCC